UACGUAGGGACCAAGCGUUGUUCGGAUUUACUGGCGUAAGGGCGCGUAGGCGGCAAUUCAAGUCAGCUGUGAAAUCUCUGGGCUUAACCCAGAACGGCCAGCUGAUACUGCGUUUGCUAGAGUGCAGAAGGGCAAUCGGAAUUCUUGGUGUAGCGGUGAAAUGCGUAGAUAUCAAGAGGAACACCUGAGGUGAAGACGGGUUGCUGGGCUGACACUGA
rnacentral:rRNA from 1 species